rnacentral:rRNA from 1 species
UACGUAGGGUGCGAGCGUUGUCCGGAAUUAUUGGGCGUAAAGAGCUCGUAGGCGGUGUGUCACGUCGGCCGUGAAAACCUGCAGCUUAACUGUGGGCGUGCGGUCGAUACGGGCAUCACUGGAGUUCGGCAGGGGAGACUGGAAUUCCUGGUGUAGCGGUGAAAUGCGCAGAUAUCAGGAGGAACACCGGUGGCGAAGGCAGGUCUCUGGGCCACUACUGACGCUGAGAAGCGAAAGCAUGGGGAGCGAACAGG